rnacentral:rRNA from 1 species
CAGCCGCCGCGGGAAAACGAAGGGGGCUAGCGUUGUUCGGAAUUACUGGGCGUAAAGCGCACGUAGGCGGAUAUUUAAGUCAGGGGUGAAAUCCCGCAGCUCAACUGCGGAACUGCCUUUGAUACUGGGUAUCUUGAGUAUGGAAGAGGUUAGUGGAAUUGCGAGUGUAGAGGUGAAAUUCGUAGAUAUUCGCAGGAACACCAGUGGCGAAGGCGGCUAACUGGUCCAUAACUGACGCUGAGGUGCGAAAGCGUGGGGAGCAAACAGGAUUAGAGACCCGCGUAGUCCCUGUCUCUUAUAA